AGCGAACGCUGGCGGCAGGCCUAACACAUGCAAGUCGAACGAUCCUUCGGGAUAGUGGCGGACGGGUGAGUAACACGUGGGAACGUGCCCUUUGGUUCGGAACAACUCAGGGAAACUUGAGCUAAUACCGAAUGUGCCCUUCGGGGGAAAGAUUUAUCGCCAUUGGAGCGGCCCGCGUCUGAUUAGCUAGUUGGUGGGGUAAAGGCCCACCAAGGCUACGAUCAGUAGCUGGUCUGAGAGGAUGAUCAGCCACAUUGGGACUGAGACACGGCCCAAACGCCUACGGGAGGCAGCAGUGGGGAAUCUUGCGCAAUGGGCGAAAGCCUGACGCAGCCAUGCCGCGUGAAUGAUGAAGGUCUUAGGAUUGUAAAAUUCUUUCACCGGGGACGAUAAUGACGGUACCCGGAGAAGAAGCCCCGGCUAACUUCGUGCCAGCCGCCGCGGUAAAAC
rnacentral:rRNA from 1 species